GACGAGGGGUCCAAGCGUUGUUCGGAAUCAUUGGGCGUAAAGCGGGUGUAGGUGGCUUUGUAAGUCAGGAGUGAAAGCCCCAGGCUUAACCUGGGAAGUGCUUUUGAUACUGCAAAUCUUGAAUGUGGGAGAGGAUGGUGGAAUUCCUGGUGUAGUGGUGAAAUACGUAGAUAUCAGGAGGAACUCCGGUGGCGAAGGCGGCCAUCUGGCCCAACAUUGACACUGAGACGCGAAAGCGUGGGGAUCAAACAGG
rnacentral:rRNA from 1 species